rnacentral:rRNA from 1 species
UACGUAGGUGGCAAGCGUUGUCCGGAAUUACUGGGCGUAAAGGGCGUGUAGGCGGGUGAGCAAGUCAGAUGUGAAAUUCCAGGGCUUAACUCUGGCGCUGCAUCUGAAACUGUUCAUCUUGAGUGCUGGAGAGGAAAGUGGAAUUCCCAGUGUAGCGGUGAAAUGCGUAGAGAUUGGGAGGAACACCAGUGGCGAAGGCGGCUUUCUGGACAGUAACUGACGCUGAGGCGCGAAAGCGUGGGGAG